rnacentral:rRNA from 1 species
AGCGGAGGAAAAGAAACUAACAAGGAUUCCCCUAGUAACGGCGAGUGAAGCGGGAUGAGCUCAAAUUUAAAAUCUGGCGGCCUCAGGUCGUCCGAGUUGUAGUCUAGAGAAUCGUUUUCCGCGUUGGCCUGUGUACAAGUCCCUUGGAACAGGGCGUCAUAGAGGGUGAGAAUCCCGUCCUUGACACAGACUACCAAUGCUUUGUGAUGCGAUCUCGAAGAGUCGAGUUGUUUGGGAAUGCAGCUCAAA